ensembl:antisense Gm14697 predicted gene 14697
ACAGGAGUGGGUUUAGCUGUGAGAUCUUGUUUUCAUCUGGAUCUGAAGUAGCCCUGCCUUAAGGGCUAUCCUCUCUCUUCAUUGUCAUCCCUGACUGAAAGCUUCUGCCAAGAACACAGGAGAUAUAAGCAGUUUCACCUAACUGAGGCAGCCUGCUGAGAGGGCAACGAAGGUCUUGUCUACUGAGAGGAAACACAUGUUCAAGAUGGCACGAAGAGUUAUUAGCAAAGCUGGGACUAACAUCAAGCUGUCUUCAGUCACUGGCAUCUUGAAGUUUGUUUGUGGCUCUGUAUGGAACUGAUCCAGAUAAGUUGACCAAAAUUCUGCAGUAUCAUGCCCCCGCUCGUAUGUGUCUGGAGGAGUUGAAGCAAGAACAAAGCUGCUGGACUUGCAGUCCUUACAGAGUUGAUGGUGGGAGGAUGGAAAAAUGGAGUAUGAUGUGAUUACCCUGCUUUCUGCUACAGCCACCAUGCUUGCCUGCUGCCAUGUUUCCCUGCUGUGAUGGACUCUUAUCUCUCUGGAACCCUGUAGCUGUUUCAAGAGAAUGGCCCUCAUAAGGCUCAUGUAUUAGAAUAUUUGAUUCCUAAGUGGUAGAACUGUUUGGGAAUGGAUUAAAACAUAUGACCUGUAGAAGAAGGUCUGUCACUU